UGGGGAAUAUUGGGCAAUGGGCGGAAGCCUGACCCAGCGACGCCGCGUGGGGGAAGAAGUCUUUCGGGACGUAAACCCAUGUUGUACGGGACGAAGGAAGUGACGGUACCGUACGAGGAAGCCCCGGCAAACUACGUGCCAGCAGCCGCGGUAAUACGUAGGGGGCGAGCGUUGUCCGGAAUCACUGGGCGUAAAGCGCACGUAGGCGGGCUGUUAAGUCGGCCGUGAAAAGGCACGGGCUCAAACCGGUGCAUGUCGGUCGAUACUGGCGGUCUGGAGUAUGGGAGAGGGGACUGGAAUUCCCGGUGUAGCGGUGAAAAUGCGUAGAUAUCGGGAGGAACACCAGUGGCGAAGGCGGGCUCCUGGCCCAUUACUGACGCUGAGGUGCGAAAAGCCAGGGGAGCGAACGGGAUUAGAUACCCCGGUAGUCCUGGCCGUAAACGAUGGAUGCUAGGUGUGGGGGUGUAAGCCUCUGUGCCGCAGCUAACGCGAUAAGCAUCCCGCCUGGGGGAGUACGAUCGCAAGAUUGAAAACUUAAAAGGAAUUGACGGGGUCAUAGCUGUUUCCUG
rnacentral:rRNA from 1 species